GACGAACGCUGGCGGCGUGCUUAACACAUGCAAGUCGAACGGAAAGGCCCUGCUUUUGUGGGGUGCUCGAGUGGCGAACGGGUGAGUAACACGUGAGUAACCUGCCCUUGACUUUGGGAUAACUUCAGGAAACUGGGGCUAAUACCGGAUAGGAGCUCCUGCUGCAUGGUGGGGGUUGGAAAGUUUCGGCGGUUGGGGAUGGACUCGCGGCUUAUCAGCUUGUUGGUGGGGUAGUGGCUUACCAAGGCUUUGACGGGUAGCCGGCCUGAGAGGGUGACCGGCCACAUUGGGACUGAGACACGGCCCAGACUCCUACGGGAGGCAGCAGUGGGGAAUAUUGCACAAUGGGAGGAAGCCUGAUGCAGCAACGCCGCGUGCGGGAUGACGGCCUUCGGGUUGUAAACCGCUUUCGCCUGUGACGAAGCGUGAGUGACGGUAAUGGGUAAAGAAGCACCGGCUAACUACGUG
rnacentral:rRNA from 1 species